GAAUGCUGACAUAAGUAACGAUAAAGCGGGUGAAAAGCCCGCUCGCCGGAAGACCAAGGGUUCCUGUCCAACGUUAAUCGGGGCAGGGUGAGUCGACCCCUAAGGCGAGGCCGAAAGGCGUAGUCGAUGGGAAACGGGUUAAUAUUCCCGUACUUGGUGUUACUGCGAAGGGGGGACGGAGAAGGCUAUGUUGGCCGGGCGACGGUUGUCCCGGUUUAAGCGUGUAGGCUGACUUUCCAGGCAAAUCCGGAAAGUCAAGGCUGAGGCGUGACGACGAGGCACCACGGUGCUGAAGCAACAAAUGCCCUGCUUCCAGGAAAAGCCUCUAAGCAUCAGGUAACAUCAAAUCGUACCCCAAACCGACACAGGUGGUCAGGUAGAGAAUACCAAGGCGCUUGAGAGAACUCGGGUGAAGGAACUAGGCAAAAUGGUGCCGUAACUUCGGGAGAAGGCACGCUGACACGUAGGUGAAGUGAUUUACUCAUGGAGCUGAAGUCAGUCGAAGAUACCAGCUGGCUGCAACUGUUUAUUAAAAACACAGCACUGUGCAAACACGAAAGUGGACGUAUACGGUGUGACGCCUGCCCGGUGCCGGAAGGUUAAUUGAUGGGGUUAUCCUCGCGGAGAAGCUCCUGAUCGAAGCCCCGGUAAACGGCGGCCGUAACUAUAACGGUCCUAAGGUAGCGAAAUUCCUUGUCGGGUAAGUUCCGACCUGCACGAAUGGCGUAAUGAUGGCCAGGCUGUCUCCACCCGAGACUCAGUGAAAUUGAACUCGCUGUGAAGAUGCAGUGUACCCGCGGCAAGACGGAAAGACCCCGUGAACCUUUACUAUAGCUUGACACUGAACAUUGAGCCUUGAUGUGUAGGAUAGGUGGGAGGCUUUGAAGCGUGGACGCCAGUCUGCGUGGAGCCAACCUUGAAAUACCACCCUUUAAUGUUUGAUGUUCUAACGUGGACCCGUAAUCCGGGUUGCGGACAGUGUCUGGUGGGUAGUUUGACUGGGGCGGUCUCCUCCCAAAGAGUAACGGAGGAGCACGAAGGUUGGCUAAUCCUGGUCGGACAUCAGGAGGUUAGUGCAAUGGCAUAAGCCAGCUUGACUGCGAGCGUGACGGCGCGAGCAGGUGCGAAAGCAGGUCAUAGUGAUCCGGUGGUUCUGAAUGGAAGGGCCAUCGCUCAACGGAUAAAAGGUACUCCGGGGAUAACAGGCUGAUACCGCCCAAGAGUUCAUAUCGACGGCGGUGUUUGGCACCUCGAUGUCGGCUCAUCACAUCCUGGGGCUGAAGUAGGUCCCAAGGGUAUGGCUGUUCGCCAUUUAAAGUGGUACGCGAGCUGGGUUUAGAACGUCGUGAGACAGUUCGGUCCCUAUCUGCCGUGGGCGCUGGAGAAUUGAGGGGGGCUGCUCCUAGUACGAGAGGACCGGAGUGGACGCAUCACUGGUGUU
rnacentral:rRNA from 1 species